rnacentral:rRNA from 1 species
UACGGAGGGUGCGAGCGUUGUCCGGAAUCACUGGGCGUAAGGGGCGCGUAGGCGGCCUGGGAAGUAGGGGGUGAAAUCCUGCGGCUUAACCGCAGGGCUGCCUUCUAAACUGUCAGGCUCGAGCACGGUAGAGGCAGAUGGAAUUCCCGGUGUAGCGGUGGAAUGCGUAGAGAUCGGGAAGAACAUCAGUGGCGAAGGCGGUCUGCUGGGCCGUUGCUGACGCUGAGGCGCGACAGCGUGGGGAGCAAACAGG